GACUGAGCGGCGGACGGGUGAGUAACGCGUGGGUAACCUGCCUCAUACAGGGGGAUAACAGUUAGAAAUGGCUGCUAAUACCGCAUAAGACCACAGCACCGCAUGGUGCAGGGGUAAAAACUCCGGUGGUAUGAGAUGGACCCGCGUCUGAUUAGCUGGUUGGUGGGGUAACGGCCUACCAAGGCGACGAUCAGUAGCCGGCCUGAGAGGGUGACCGGCCACAUUGGGACUGAGACACGGCCCAAACUCCUACGGGAGGCAGCAGUGGGGAAUAUUGCACAAUGGGGGAAACCCUGAUGCAGCGACGCCGCGUGAGCGAAGAAGUAUUUCGGUAUGUAAAGCUCUAUCAGCAGGGAAGAAAAUGACGGUACCUGACUAAGAAGCCCCGGCUAACUACGUGCCAGCAGCCGCGGUAAUACGUAGGGAGCAAGCGUUGUCCGGAUUUACUGGGUGUAAAGGGUGCGUAGGCGGUUUGGUAAGUCAGAAGUGAAAUCCAUGGGCUUAACCCAUGAACUGCUUUUGAAACUAUCGAACUUGAGUGAAGUAGAGGUAGGCGGAAUUCCCGGUGUAGCGGUGAAAUGCGUAGAGAUCGGGAGGACACCAGUGGCG
rnacentral:rRNA from 1 species